rnacentral:misc_RNA from 1 species
UCAAACUUGGUCAUUUAGAGGAAGUAAAAGUCGUAACAAGGUCUCCGUAGGUGAACCUGCGGAGGGAUCAUUACUGAAUGGCCCUUUGGGCCUUCAAACCCUCAAACCUGUGGACUUUACACCGUGCUUCGGCGCCGCCCUAGGGCGGUGCCGCCUUUAUGCAUCGAGUCUGAUGUUGUCGGAUUGCUUUGAAGAUUGAAAACUUUCAACAAAGGAUCUCUUGGCUCUCCUGCGGAGGGAUCAUUACUGAAUGGCCCUUUGGGCCUUCAAACCCUCAAACCUGUGGACUUUACACCGUGCUUCGGCGCCGCCCUAGGGCGGUGCCGCCUUUAUGCAUCGAGUCUGAUGUUGUCGGAUUGCUUUGAAGAUUGAAAACUUUCAACAAAGGAUCUCUUGGCUCUCGCAUCGAUGAAGAACGCAGC